CAGAAGACAAAAUGGUGUAAAUAAAAGGAAGAGUAUAAAUUCAGAUGGUCUCUCAGAAACUUGAACAGAUGCUCCAGUCUGCUGUCUUCUGGAGGUUAGCCAAAGGAAUUCAGGAAGACUGAUUCUUCCAGUAGGAUACUUGAGCACUUUUUGCCCUCACACAUGGAAAAAUCUUCUGGGACUUUCUUUUCUGGCAGAUGUGAAUGUACACAAUGAACUUGGCAAGAAGCAAGAAAGAAACACAGAUGACAGGGGGAAAGGGGAGAGGUGAAGAGAGGAAGAUGGGUGUGAAAGGAAAAGAUGUAAGUGCUGAGCUUCCCACCCUCUGCAAUGCUGUCAGCCUGAACCAUGCAGACAUCUGGUGUGCAAGCAAAUUAUAGCCAAGGCAAAUUCUGUCAUGUAGUUAAAUUUGUCAUUCUCUCUGUCUUGCUUGCUUGCAUCCUCUUGUUCUUUCUUCCUCACUUGCUUUCUCUCUUUCUUUCUCACUCUUUCUUUAUUUCUUAAUUAUUUUUUCUUUAUCCAGCACCUGUCUUUGUAAUAAAUUAGUGGUCCAGCAGCCUUGGAUUAAUCCCAGAGGGAAAGAAUUGGAAGGCUACAGUGUGAUGACAACCCCAUGGCUAACAGCUAGACUCAUAAAGCCCUUUCUCAUUAAAGCGUUUCAGUUUUUAUGAUGGAAACCAAUCCAUCACAGUCA